CGAAGGACAAUGUGGUCGCUCAUUUGAGAGGCUAUUUGUGGAUAUAGAGCAAUAUAGAUGUCAGCAAAGAAGACUAUGCUCAACGUGUUCUCCAGUGGAAAUGCAACAAGGCCACACUCCUGCCCACAUGUGAAUCAUUGAGGGAAAAGAGGUUCAGGAUGACUUUAAAAGGUUGACUAAGGCUUUUUCAGUACAUCCAGCUCAAGAAAAAGCCAUUGCACAACACAUUGUGAACUGUAACAUUUCUUGUUGGAUUUCCCUGUUGAAGAUUUUCAAUUUGAAAGACCUUUUGGAAGAACGUAAUGUGUCUAAUUGCGCUUACAUUUUGUGCAAGUCUGUUGUACUUU